rnacentral:rRNA from 1 species
AUUGAACGCUGGCGGCAGGCCUAACACAUGCAAGUCGAGCGGAAACGACAACAUUGANUCUUCGGAGGAUUUGUUGGGCGUCGAGCGGCGGACGGGUGAGUAAUGCCUAGGAAAUUGCCUUGAUGUGGGGGAUAACCAUUGGAAACGAUGGCUAAUACCGCAUAAUGCCUACGGGCCAAAGAGGGGGAUCUUCGGACCUCUCGCGUCAAGAUAUGCCUAGGUGGGAUUAGCUAGUUGGUGAGGUAAUGGCUCACCAAGGCGACGAUCCCUAGCUGGUCUGAGAGGAUGAUCAGCCACACUGGAACUGAGACACGGUCCAGACUCCUACGGGAGGCAGCAGUGGGGAAUAUUGCACAAUGGGCGAAAGCCUGAUGCAGCCAUGCCGCGUGUAUGAAGAAGGCCUUCGGGUUGUAAAGUACUUUCAGUUGUGAGGAAGGGUGUGUAGUUAAUAGCUGCACAUCUUGACGUUAGCAACAGAAGAAGCACCGGCUAACUCCGUGCCAGCAGCCGCGGUAAUACGGAGGGUGCGAGCGUUAAUCGGAAUUACUGGGCGUAAAGCGCAUGCAGGUGGUUCAUUAAGUCAGAUGUGAAAGCCCGGGGCUCAACCUCGGAACUGCAUUUGAAACUGGUGAACUAGAGUGCUGUAGAGGGGGGUAGAAUUUCAGGUGUAGCGGUGAAAUGCGUAGAGAUCUGAAGGAAUACCAGUGGCGAAGGCGGCCCCCCUGGACAGACACUGACACUCAAAUGCGAAAGCGUGGGGAGCAAACAGG